GAGGAGAUCAACAGCCCCAGGCAGGAGGGGAGGGAUGUUUCCAGGAGGGUUUCCCGGGACGGGACUUCGGAAGAACCUACAGGAGUCGAAAGGGCAGCAUGUCCAGACCCAAGUCACAGAGGGAGGGGUGCACCCCAGCUGGAACAGCCACCCAUGGGCUCUGUGCCGCCGGGCAUCAGGAACGAGCCUGGCCACGCUUACUCCUGGCCUCCGGGCACCCUAGCCCUCACCCUGAAGCUACCCGGCUCUGCGCAAAAGCCCCCACCUCCCCUGCCCGCUAAGCCCUUUCUGCGCCGAGUAACCCUGUACAAGCCACGCCCAUUCCGCGGGCCUCAGUUGGCCCAUCUAUGCAGCAGGGAGUGGAAGAACCAGGAUGAAUAACUGCCGAGGAGAUCCGAAUUCUCUGGGAUUGUUCUCCCCGGCGCCGCCCGCGGAGCCACGGCGCGAAUGGCGGCAUGCGCGUGCUGUGUGCGCCCUCUAGUGCUCACUCCCUGCCACAGCGCUAUCUUGACCUAGAAGCCGCCAGCACCCCUUUGAAAAGUGAUUACUGAAAGUCAAUAGGGAAGGGAAUGGGAUAAACAAACCUCAGAAUGCAUACAUAAUAGGCGUGUGAUAAUGAGUGCGCGAGCACGCGAAUGAAUGGACAGCAAAAUAAAUGCAUGCACAGAGUGAGCCAAGCCAAUUAAUGGACUGUUUUGUGGCUAUUUUCAAACAUUUCACUUAGAAUAAAAAGUCAGACUGCUUAUCCUGCCCACAAGGCCUUGUGGGAAGCACGGACCUGGUCCGCUCUCACCCUGCCUUUUGCACCUGAAGCACACUAAGUACUUCUCCCGCUCCACAUGUCUGUGCUUGCCUUUUCCACUUCUGGAAUCUGUCCCCGGCUGUCUCACGGCUGCCACUUCUCCUC
ensembl:lncRNA